GGAGCCGGAGGGAGGACCCAGCGGUUAAGGUCGCCAGCUCCGCUUGCUCAGGACAGGAGCGGGAUCUUAGCUUAAGUUAGGAGGCUCACAAAGAUUCCAGUGCCAGGAGAUCUGGCGCCCUCUUCUGGCCUCUGCGGGCAUCAGCCUCAUCCCCAUAAAAUACAUUAAAAAAAAAGAUUUCAAAAAUAAAAAUAACACGAUAGAGAAAAGAUGCAUUUUAAAAAGCAGCAAACAUAGGUGGAAACAUCAGGACUUAGGGCUAGAAAAGAAUUAUUAGGUUAACCAAAAGCAUAAUCCAUAAAAAACUGAUGGAUGGAGCCCUUAUUCAACUAAGAAACCUCUACUCUUUGAUGUCCUGUGGGGAGAAGCACAGGAGAGCCACAGGCUAGGAGCGUACUGUGAAAGAGCAAUCCAGUAUGAAAAUGGAAAAAAGACAUGAGCGCACGCUACAGAGGAUGUGUAGGCAUCAGACACUAGAGGGUCACUGAUGAACCCUCCCACAGACCUGUCAGUCACUACCACCAAACCAAAAGUAGUGCAGGUGCCUGCCAAGUGAUGGCAAGGACCUAGAAAAAUUGCGUCACCACAGACUGCUGGCAAGAACUUGAAAAGGUGAAGCCAUCCUUCUAAAUUCUAAUAAAACUCAACGUGCAGUUAACCACUGAAUAACUCGUCUUCCCCUCCUCCCCCCUCUUUUUCUUGAGACAAGGUUUCACUAUGUUGCUCUAGCUGUUCUGGAACUCACUUUGUAGACCAGGCUGGCCUCAAACUCACAGAGAUCCGCCUGCCUCUGCCUGCCGAGUGCUGGGAUUAAAGGUGUGCGCCACCACCACCUGACAUGACUUGUUUUAGUUGUACUCUUUGGUAUGAAUCUCAGAGAAACAAAACUUGUAACCACAUAAAAAUUUACACAUGGGAAUCCAUAGCCUCUUUAUUCAGAAAAGACCACCUUGGAAUAACUCUGAUGUCAUUCAGUGGUUGAAGGGUUAAAGGGGUGUGUCCUGAUUAACAUGGCAAUGCCAACAAAUCCCCAGGAAACUAUACUAUACUAAAGAGAACUACAGUUACAUGCCGUGUAAAAUUUCAUUGUGUGGCAUUCUGAAAACAAUAAUAAUAAAAAUAAAUUAUUUCAAAUGGACAGAUUCCUAGUGGCCAGGGUCUGGAGUUGGGUAGAGAAGGGUAUUUGGUGAUAAAAAGUCCUGGGAUUGUUGCGGUGGCAAUGGGCAUGUCCUGUAUUUUGACUGUCCCUCCUCCAGGAUCUUCCUGUGAUUCUUGAUUGUGUUUUGUCUAAGUUUGCCCGUGGACAAACUGGGUAAAGCUUAUUUGUCUGAAUUAUUUCUUUCAAUUUCGCAUGAGUGCACAAUUGCCCUUAAAUAUAGAAGUUUAAUUUAAAACCAGAUCAGCCCAAUAGCGAGCAAACUUUAACAGGGCGGAGGCGGGCAGGGGUAGAGUGGAAGUAAACCUGCCGUUGCAGCAGGUUGAAGGGCUCCCAUCUUCAUUAGGACUCCCGAGACCUGCUCCGCCAGGGCUUCUCCUGCCUCCUCCUCAUUCCAGGGCUUUGAGACUUGGUCUGAGAGCCCCAUUAUUUAAUUUCUGGCUACUGUUUGGCUGGUUGGGCUUUUUUCGGGGCACGUCUCUCUAUGUAGCUCAGGCGGUCCUUAAACUCAUUGUAUACACUAGGCUGUCUCACGGAGAUUCAUUCACCUGCAGCUCCGAGUGGGGGGAUUAAAGGCGUGGGCCACUUAGUCCAGCUUUGGCUGCUGUUUUACUGAGCAGAGCCGUGGAGUUUUGGGGAGAGGACUUAGCUCACUUUUGUGAUAGGCUCCCAAUUGUCUGUCCGCGGGAGGUAUGGGGGAGGGGGUUCGGGGGCGAGCAGACUGGUCCUUAAGAAUUACCACUGAAUAAUCACCACUGGCCGAGCACCUCUGCUAGCUGAUCUCCCAAGAUUCUGAAACACACAUUUGCAAAUGAGGAAAAGGAAACUUAUCGAAGCUAACUCGUAACCCAGACAAGCAGCUGACACGAACCCAACUCUAUUCCACCCCAAACCCUGGAGGAAGAACAGCGGUGAGAAGACAGACGUCCUCUUCCAUCUGCUCUUUGUGUGCGACCCGGGGCGAAUUCCUGGCGCUCUCAGUGGCGGGGUUCCUUAUGUGGGCAAAUCGGACAAUCACAAAGUCAGGUUCCCCUCGCUCUGUGAAGGCGCCACACCUAGACGCAAAGUGGGACAUUCCACCUGGCACCCCGCUGGCUGCUGUGUCUGUGUUUGAAGUUCAAACCCGCAAUCAGCCUCAGGGGACAGAGGUGGAGUCUCGGGCGGGGCACCCCAAGUCUAGGGCAUCCCAGCUUUUGAGCACGCUGAGGUGUUUAGUGGGACUGGGACGCUUGCCAGCUUGCCUGGCCAAUCCCCGAGAGCAGGGUCCCCAGAGAUUUCAUUCUGCUUGGCCAAGGAUUCACCCCAGCCAGGACAAAUUAAGAGAGGGCCUGGCUUGCUUUAGAGGAGGCAGGGAGAUGAGGUGACCCACUUCUCUGGAACUGCCCCAGGCCAAGGUGGAGUUGGGGUUAUCUGAGCUGGGGUUAUCAAUCAGAUGGCAGCAGUCGGGCUCAGGGAAGAUGCGGGUCUCGACUGGUCCCCGGCCCCUGGAAAAAGAGGUAGAGAACCCUACCCCCCACCCUGCUCCAGCCACUCAGUAACUCUGUUAGGAACGGGACAGCCACACCCGGACGGGGACAAGUGGGAGUGCUGGCGCGCUACUCCAUCCCCACUGAGUACCAAGGGUGCUAGACCAGGGCUCCCAGUUCCGGAAGACGCCAGACGCCGCUGUCCCUGACUGACCAUCGGCAUUGUUAGUAGGACCCGUGCUGUAAAGCCCACUCUGGGUGGAGCCAGUUUGCCCCUCAGUAUCCUCGCUGGAGCCGCUGCAUCCAGAGCUGACCACUUACCAAGAAAUCAAAGUAUGUGCUUGGCUCGGCCCCACUAUUCUUUAAAGCAGUCCUUGAGGAACUGAAGCAUGCCCCACGCCACAGGAGCCUUGGAAACUUUAUUAAUAAUGAAACAGAAGAACAAAAGACUAUAAAUAAAAACUAGUCCCCCACGGUAGAAUGUGGUUAAUGGUGCGAGACAGAGUCCUAAGAGACAAAACUGAAAGUCCUUGCCAACACCUUGCCAACAUCUUAAUCAUGUAGAAGGAGUUUUGUUUGAUUGUGCUUAGCCUUGAUUUAUGUCUGGAACCCUGAAUGGGGUGAUGCAGUGAGCCUGCCAAGUUUUUUGAUCUGUUUUGUAUAUAAACUGAAGCUUUGCAGAAGUAAAAUUGCAGCAGAUUUUCACUA